UUUUGUCUUUUUAGCGCUGCAGCUGCGGCACGUGGAGGUUCCCAGGCUGGGGGUCGAAUCGGAGCUGUAGCUGCCGGCCUCCACCGCAGCCACAGCCACGCGGGAUCCGAGCCGGGUCUGCGACCUACAUCACAACUCAUGGCAACGCCGGAUCCUUAACCCACUGAGUGAGGCCAGGGAUCGAACCCACAACCUCAUGGUUCCUAGUUGGAUUCGGGACGGGAACUCCCUAUUUUGUGGAUAUCGAUGAACCGAUUCUGAAGUUUGAAUGGAGAGCAGGCAGAAGCCCCAGAGUAGCCAACACGGUACUGAAGAACCAAGGACUGACUAUAAAGGCAGCAGUUCUGCAGGGCACUGGCGGGGGACAGACAGAGAGACCAGUGGAACAGAACAGCCAGAACUAGGUCCUCAAAAUGCAGUCCACUGAGCUCCGCCAAAGGAGCACAUCAAUUCAACGGAGGAGAGGUAGUCUUUUCAACCAACGGUGCCGGGACAACUGGACAUCCGUGUGUCCAAAACAGGCCUUGAACCUUAGACAAGUAACUCAAAACGGAUGCUGGACCUAAGUGCAAACUGCACAACAAGAGAACUGUCAGAUAAGGAAGUACAAAGGAGAAAAAUCUAGGUGAGCGUGGGUUCGGCCAUGAGUUUUGGACAGAACAACAGAAGUUUGAUCCAUGAAGGAAAGAAAAAAAAGAACGAGCUGGAUUUAUUAGAAUUAAGACUCUUGCUCUGCAAGGCACUGUUGAGAGAAUAAGACAAAUCACAGACUGGGAAGAAAUAUUUUCAAAACACACAUCUGAUAAAAGAUUUGUUCAUAGGUCUGGUGAGGGAGUAAUAUCCAUAAUACAUAGAGAAUUCUGAAAACUCAACAACCAAAAAAAAAAAAAAACAGUUACAAAUGGACCAAAGACUGGAACAGACAUUUCUGUGAAGAAGAUACGCAGAUGGCCAAUGAGCACGAGAGAGGAGGCUCGGCGUCACGGAUCAGGAAAACGGCAGCUCGAAACCGCAGAGCGAUGCUGCUUUACACGACCGACCGGGACGACUGCGAAGAAAAAGGGACACAGAAAAUGACGUCCUUGAGGAUGCGGAGAAACUGGAACCUCGUGCACGGCUGGCGAGAACGCAAAGCGGUUGAGCCGCUGUGGAAAUCCGUUCACCACGUGCUCAAGAAGACGGAAAACAUUGCCCCAGGCAAUUCCGCCUCUGGGUAUAAACCCCAAAGAAUGGAAAGCGGGGUCUCAGGAAGCGGGGUGCACACCGGUGUCCACAGCAGCCUUGGUCACAGUGGCCAGGAGGCGAAGGCGGCGCGGCGUGCCUCCACCGAGGGCCGGGCGAGGAGAAGGCAGCGUGUCCGCAAGUGGAAUAGCAUUCAGCCUUAAAAGGAAGACUUUCUGUCACCUGCCAAACACGAACGGACCUCGAGGACGUCACGCUCAGUGACAUCAGCCAGUCGCAAAAGGGGGGCCCCCAGUCCCGGGUCGCCUGCCUCCGACUCCUGGUUGGAACUCGACGUCCCACCUCCCAGGAAGCCCCCAGUCCCGAGCACAUGGGAUGGGUCACCCCCCUCAGCCCCCCGCCCCACUGGGCUGAACUUGCCUCCCCAGAAGGGUCAUGGGACGUCCCCGCGCAGAGUCAGCUGGCCCCGGGGUGAGCCCUCUGGCCCUGAUUCCAUUUCCUAUCGUCCAGGGGACCCCCCUCCCCCACAGCCUCCCUCCCUGUGGGUCCCACUGCCUGGCACCCAGGCCUGGAGACCUGGGCGGGGUGAGCUCUGCCCUCACCCCUCGGAUGAGGAAGCUGAGCCGUGAGAGCAGAGCUGCCCGGUGGGGGCCUCUCAGGUGCUGCCCCGGCCGAGGGCUGAGGCUCCGGGCGUUGUCACAGCAGCCCAGGAUGCAGGCGCCAUGCUUGUCCCUCUAUCCCUGGGACCAGGGCAGGGAGGGCUGGGUGGGGAAGUGGGUGGGGUGCUCAGGUCCUCUGCCUGAGAGGUGCCCCUGCCCCUGUGGACGUCACCACAGCUGCCCCUCCCCGACUCAUCGCCACCCUCUGUUCCCCUGGGUGCAUGGCUGCCAGUCUCCUGAUCUAUGAGCCUGAGCUCCACCCUGGCCACUGGGACAUGUCAGGGACUCGCUGAACGCUGCUGCUGCAGGCUGGGCUUGGGCAGGGACCUGGCCGAGGGUACGUCCUCCACGGGGACAGGGAGGGCCGUGGUUGGCUGCAGGUGCUGGUCCUGCUGCGGGACCCCUAUGACCUGUGUCACUCCCAGCCCAGAGGUGCCGGCUGUGAGGGUGACAGCCCAGCCCGCCUCCGGGAGGGACAGCCUCGGGGGCUCCAGUGGGAUGGGGCUGAGGCUGGACUCCUCCUGGGCCCCCUCCUGCUGACACUGCUGUCCAGGAGCUACCGUCCCUCCCGACCCAACCUCUCCUGCAGGCUGCAGGCAGAACAGAGACGGUGACCUGGGCGACUCCCUGGGCUGCAGGCUGGGAGAGGCCGCUGGGCACGUGUCUGGGCACCGUCGAAUGUCGGCACCGACUCCCGGGCAGCCCGGACAGACAGGCCGACAGCAUCUCUCUGACCGUUGUCAGGAGGGGAGGGGCGGGGGCAGCAGGCGCCUCGGGGGCCCCCAACUCAGCACCCCAGGUUCCCCCAGAAUAAAAAGCAUCCAAGACCUUCUCUGCUGAGCCCAGGUUCCUGUGGAGGGGGUGUGAGUGCAGCUGCCAGCGCCCAGGCCGAGCACCUGCCUGUCCAUCCAGGUGGGCCUGGGGGACGCCCCUCCAUCUUUAACGAGGAGCGGGUGUCUGUCCCAUUGACAUGACUCCCUGGCAAUCAGCUCAGCAGAGAAAGUGCAGCCUCCCAGUCCGUGGGUGCCUGCCACUUGUGGAUGGGCCUUUUUCCCUCUCUCUUUUUGAGCAAGACUCGCACAUAGAAAGAAGCUUCCCCCGGGCACGUGUUAUCCUCUGCAGAGCCCUUGUCCGGCCAAGUGGAAGCCGGCCCGGGGACUGGCCAGCAACGAAGGUCACAAGCGCCUUCACUUUCACUGAAAUAGAAACAGCUCCACGGAGGAGACAUUGAGAAACAAGAACUCUGCCGUUUUUAGAACCAAAUGUAAAAACCCGCAGGAGUGAAGCUGGGGUCGAACGGAAGCUUUGCUUGCUGCUGCGACAGGCUGUCUGCCCAUCCGCCCCCAGAGGACACUCGCAGCUGGCUAAUUGACACCUGGUGCCUCGGCUGGCUCUGUCCUCGUUUCUCAGAGAGGAAGUGGAGCAUGAGGACGGAGCCACGACGUGCAGGGAUGGAGGGCUUCGUGGAGGAGGCAACCCUGGGGCCCGACGGAACAGGUAGGGGUGCAGGGGCAGCUGAGACCAUCCCCCUCCCUGGACUGGAAGGCCUCCUGGCCCUUCCUCCAGGAAGCCCUCCUUGCUCCACGAAGCCUGACACGGGUUGCAAUUCGACGUCACGCCUCCUUACCCUCACAGGGAGCCCGGGGAGGGGUGCGAGGAGCUGGCUUGGCCCUGUGUUUGUCCCGAAUGUGCCUGGGCUUUGGGCAUCCCGGGCCAUCCUGGAACUGGCGCUGUCUGCUGUGAUGGGGGUGAGCGGUGCAGGGAGCUGGGAGCAGGGUUGGCCCUGCCCUGGUCACAGCCCUGCGGAGCCCAGGACACAGCUGCUCCGUCCCUGGGGCCACUUGCUGGCCCCUGCCCAGGGGCCAGACGUGGCCAGUCUGAGAUGACAUGUCUCCUCAGACCCCUGGGAGGGACCCGGUGCGCUGGGAAGUAGCUCACAGCGGCAUCUUGGUGCCCAUGCCCAUCUGCCAGGGGCGACACAGCAGCUCCACGCUGGCCCUCAGGAAGGUCCUGCUGUUUGUCCAGGGGCCACUCGCCCUAGAAGCUUUCAGAGAGGACACCUGGUCCCAGGUCCACCUGUUCUGGCCCGAGGGGCUCCUCCAGCACCCUGGACACGUGUCCUUGUGCAAAUCCACAUCCAGCUGCCCCGCUGUGCCCCCAUCGCUCUACCACCCGCCUGGGGUUCAGAGCCUCUGCCAAGGCCAUCGGCAGGGACGCUGCUCAGACAGGCUUCUGCUGAGCUCCCCCAGCCCCGCAGAGCGCAAAGCUGGCUCCAGACCCGCCUGCGGGAUGGGCCCCAUCACAGGGAAGGAAGCCAUGUUUCCAGACGCAGACGGCCUGGUUUAUUUUCGGGGCAGAGGCAAAAAAGCUGUGCGUGCCUGGAUCGCUCCGGCACUCGGCCCCACCUGUUCCCACAAACUCGGGGCUGGGCCUCCCUGCGGCCCCAUCCUCGCUCCCAGCCCUUUGGCUCCCCGCUGCAUGGCGAGCUGGGGACCGUGCCCCUGCACAGGGCUGGGAGCGCGCAGAGGCAGCUGCAGAGAGGAGACCCGUCUGCGGGGCUGUCUGUGUGCAGAGGCCUCGCACCUGGCCCCGGGCUGAGGGGGCCGCGUGGGGACAGAUGUGACCUGACCUGGUUUCCCCGUCGGGCCAGACAGUCUCCACAAGGGCACCGGAGACUCUGGGGCCAAUGAACACAGGUGACACCCAAACCCUCUCCUUCCCGCUGGGCACCGCUGACGAACCCGAGCCCCCCACUCUGGCCCCACUGAAGCAGCUGGUUUAUUGGCUGGACUCAGAGCGACGGACAGACGCACAGCAUCUGGUUUUCAAUGCGAUCCCAAAGGUGACGUGUGACACGCCCAUGCUGGCAGGGACACACAUGGGCCGUGAGCAUCCUACAGCGUCCGUUGCCCCCUCGGUAGGAAGGGGCGAGCAGAUGCCCGGUUGGCACCAGAGGUGUCCCCAGUGUUUGUCGAGGUGACACAACUUGACACCCCAAUCAGCAAACUGGGGCGUUCCCAUUGUGGCUCAGCAGGGACGAACCCGAUGAGGAUCCAUGAGGGUGUGGGUGCCACCCCUGGCCUCCCUCAGGGGGUCGGGGAUCUGGGGUGAAAGUCACAGACCCGCCUGGAGCCCAAAGGAGGGCUGUGGAGCCACAGACUGCACCACACCCUCUCUGCCACGGCUGGUCCCCGCAAUCUGACCACUCCCCGGCCCCCGUCGGCUGUCACGGGCACCCGGCCUCCCACAGCAGGCUCCCACGUAGCCAUCACAUCCACCUGAACUUGACUUUGGCUCAAAACGGCAGCAGAUAGGACUAAGCAGGAAGCAGCCGCACACUCCAGCUGCAACGGGCAGAGCUUUCAGCCAAGGUGCAGCCUGACCAGGUGAGAACAGGUGGGGCUGGUGACAAGACGUGAACAGGUGGGAAUAGUGACAAGGUGACAGGUGGGCCAGUGACCAGGUGAGAACAGGUGGGAGUAGUGACAAGGUGAGACCAGGUGGGACAGUGACAAGGUGAGAACAGGUGGAGCUGUUGACAAGGUGUGACCAGGUGGGACUGGUGACAAGGUGAGACCAGGUGGGAGUAGUGACAAGGUGUGAACAGGUGGGAAUAGUGACAAGGUGAGACCAGGUGGGACAGUGACAAGGUGAGAACAGGUGCAGCCUGACAAGGUGAGAACAGGUGGGGCUGGUGACAAGGUGAGACCAGGCGGAGCUAGUGACAAGACGUGAACAGGAGGAAGUAGUGACAAGGUGAGGACAGGUGGGGCCACUGACAAGGUGUGACCAUGUGGGACUACUGACAAGGUGAGACCAGGUGGAGCUAGUGACAAGGUGUGACCAGGUGGGAAUAGUGACCAGGUGAGACCAGGUGGGAGUAGUGACCAGGUGAGACCAGGUGGGACAGUGACAAGGUGAGAACAGGUGGAGCUGUCGACAAGGUGUGACCAGGUGGGACUGGUGACAAGGUGAGACCAGGUGGGGCUAGUGACAAGGUGUGAACAGGCGGGAGUAGUGACAAGGUGAGGACAGGUGGGACCACUGACAAGGUAAGAAGUAGGAGUAGUGACAAGGUAAGACCAUGUGGGACAACCUGCCAAGGUGAGAACAGGUGGGGCCACUGACAAGGCUGGGCAGGGAGGCCAACUGGCCUGGGCUGUGCAGGACUCCGAGGCUCCCACCAGGGAAGCUCUCUCCACCCCCAGCCGAGGGACUGGGGAGUGGGCAGUGACAGAGCCCAUGGCUGCGUGGGGAGACGGCACCCCCUGCAGAGCCGGGAGGAAAUGGGGCCCCAGUUCACCCACCACCCCCGUGUCUCCUGCGUCUCCACGGGCCUCGCCCGGCUGGGGCAGGGCCAGCGAUAAGGACCCAAAGGUGGAGGGGAUCUGGGUGAGGGGACAGACAGACACUGCCCAGUGUGUCGCCCACAGCAUCUCUUCACCCGGAUGGUACGAGGGGACUCACCACGGGUCAAAUGAGGAUAUGUACGGAAGGUGACUGGCGGCCUGCCUGACCCGUGUCCUCGUCCUCCCCGGCGUCCCGCCCUCCCCGGGCUGCGUCCUUGUAGGAGGCGGGGGCAUUUCCUCUGCUGAGGAUGCGGGGGGCCCCCCUGCGCUGGCUGCUCCUGGGACUGUCCUGGGCACUGUCGCUGGGGCGGGGGGUGGGGGGAGUGAGGUCUGUGUUCAGCCCCUCCUGUUCUUGCCCAGCGUUUCCCCAGGGGGUGAGGUGGCUGGGAGGGUGAGGUGACCUGGGCAGGUAGCACGCCGGGGCCACCCCCUGUCAGGAAAGCUGGCCCUGGUCCCGCUCCUGUCUCUGCCCUUGGAGUGUGGUCUAGUGGGGUUGUUGGUGGCCCCAAAAGCUACGUCCAGUCCUAGCUCCCGGAACCCAUGGACGUGACCGUAUUUGGGAAGAGGGGUCUGCACAUGCGAUUAAGGAUCGCAAGAUGAGGUCACCCUGGAUUGGGGUGGGUCCUAAAGCCGAUGACAAGUGUCCCUAGGGAGAAGCAGAGAGGAGGGGCGCACGGGGGAGAGUCCACAUAAAGACAGAGGCGGAGCCGGGAGGGAGGUGGCCACAAGCCCAGGGACACCUGGGCCACCAGAAGCUGGAAGAGGCAGGAAGGACCCGCCUGCGAGCCUCCGCGGAGCACGGCCCUGCUCACACCCUGGUUUCGGAGUCUGACCUCCAGACUGCGAAAGAACGGAAUUCUGUGGUUUUGAGCGGCCUGGUCUGUGGUCCUUUGCUGUCACGGCCCCAGGGGGAUCAGCUCACAAGACCAGGGCGUGUCCCGUGGCCUCCGCGACAGGCAGAAGCACAAAAGGUGUUUGGGGUCAGAGCUUUUCUGAAACAGGAAUGUCCGCCCCUGGUGGAUUCAGCUGGAGGCUUUCCGAGCGUCUCCGAGCUGCUGUCCAGACCUGCCGCCGGUGGAGGGAUUUUUAAUACUCGGGACGGGUGUCUCCUAAACAAGCUGUCAGGAAAACAAAUGGCAGGAAGUUGAGCGGGUAUUGGCCGCGUCGGAGUGCCCUGCAAUUCUCCGCGUCGAGUCUGCAGGCGAGUUUGACAGGGCGGGGGCCCGGCGGCGCCUCUCUGUUCCAGAAAAGCCUCCCUCGGUGGGGUGCGCUGUCUGUGCGGCGGCUCGCCGUGGCUGGCUGCGGCUUCUGCCCCAUCUGCUGGGCCUCUGAGGGCACAGAGGGUCCACCGUCCUCAGGGCCGCACCCCGAGACGUGCGCCCCUUCAAGCCCUCGUGUGCCCGUCGCCUCCAGCCCAGGCAGAGCUGGUCACCCCGCGAGAGGCUCAGGGGGACCUCGGCAGACGGGCUCGGGCUGGGCAGGAGCCGGGAGCCAGACGUCCUACCAGUGGCCACUCUCCUUCUCUCCCCAGCAAAAGCCUUGGGGACAUCACUGCGGGUGUCAGCCCGGGCGACCCCUUGCUCUGGGGCCCUCCAUCCUACCUCCAGCUCUGGCUGCUGGUGCCUGUGCCCCUGACCUGCUGACACGAGAAGGCCGCUGGAGAACCCUUCUCCGAAGCUCGGCCCAGCCUCUGGCAGCCCAUCGCCGGCGGGGGUGGGGAACACAGGGGUGAUGUUACGGGGCUCCCCACCUCCCAGCACAGUCCAGAGAGGGGUCUCGGGACCACGUGGCCACGAGGGAUCCUGGGAUGGAGAGGUCCCUGCCCCCCCUGCCACCCUGGUGCACCUUCCUUUAAGGGUCCUGGGAGCUGCCGGGGAGCCCAAGUCGGGAGUUUGGGGGGGGUGAGGCGGCCCAGAUGGAAGACCUCCCCACUCCCACCCCGGCAAUAAAUAGUGACCCUGGACAGGCGCUUCCGACCAUGCACGUCCUGUCGGGCGCAAAGCCCGAAGCUGACCGAUUCACAAACGAGCCAGUCUUUGAUUUUGGCCCCGGCCCGGAGGGUCUUCAAGGGCUUGACGCGUGGGGCUCCCAAGGGACUC
rnacentral:lncRNA from 1 species